UACAGAGGUCUCAAGCGUUGUUCGGAUUCAUUGGGCGUAAAGGGUGCGUAGGUGCGCUGUAAGUCAAGGUGUGAAAUUUCGGAGCUUAACUCCGAAACUGCAUUUGAUACUGCGGUGCUUGAGGACUGGAGAGGAGAUUGGAAUUCACGGUGUAGCAGUGAAAUGCGUAGAUAUCGUGAGGAAGACCAGGUGGCGAAAGGCGGAUCUCCUGGA
rnacentral:rRNA from 1 species